rnacentral:rRNA from 1 species
UACAGACGGUGCGAGCGUAAAUCGGAAUUACUGGGCGUAAAGAGCACGUAGGUGGCGACGUAAGUCGGGUGUGAAAGCCCCGGGCUCAACCUUGGAAUUGCAUUCGAGACUGCAUUGCUGGAGUACGGAAGAGGAGGUCGGAAUUCCCGGUGUAGCGGUGAAAUGCGUAGAUAUCGGGAGGAACAUCAGUGGCGAAGGCGUCCUUCUGUUCCAGUACUGACACUCAAGUGCCACAGCGUGGGGAGCAGACAGG